rnacentral:rRNA from 1 species
UACGUAGGUGGCAAGCGUUGUCCGGAUUUAUUGGGUUUAAAGGGUGCGUAGGCGCCUUGUAAGUCAGUGGUGAAAUACUCCAGCUUAACUGGAGGGGUGCCAAUGAUACUGCAGAACUUGAGUACAGAUGAGGUAGGCGGAAUUGACGGUGUAGCGGUGAAAAUGCAUAGAUAUCGUCAAAGAAACACCCGAUAGCGAAAGGCAGCUUUACUGGGGCUGU